UCCCUGGUAGUAUAUCGGUUAGUACACGCGCCUGUCAUGACCCUGUGGUGGCUAGACUGACGCGCGAAAGCUGGGUUCGACUCCCAGCCAGGGAG